UUUCUUUACUUGGCCAUUUUAGAGAAUGCAGAAUAACAGGGAUUUUAUUUAAUUUGAUGUUUGACAUUCGAGUCUUUCUGUGUUCACUAUCAUUUAGCUGAGUCUAAAUUUAGUGUUGAAAGGAGUUAAGACACUGCCAUUCUCAACCAGGAAAGACUUUCAGUGGCUACAUGACCACUGUGUCCUGCAUUCCUAUUACUUUUUUUCCUCUUUGUUUGCUUGCUUAGUGGUUUGAGAAAGGUCUCACUGCAUAGCCCUGGCUGUCCUGGAACUCACUAUGUAGACCAAGCUGGCCUCAGACUCAUAGAGAUCUAUCUGCCUCAGCCUCCUUUCUACUGGCAUUAAAGGUACCACCAAGCCUGACUGUGUUCCUAUUUCUUAAGUAAGUAUCUGAUACCUAAGAGAACAUACUAAGCUGAAAACCUCCUAGUCUGUGGACCCCUUCUGUGUAGAAAUAGAAAAAGUAGGCAGUUCCUGAUGAAUGAAGGGUCAACUGGCUUCUGUACUCACUGAUUUAAACUGGACCUGGAGUUUGCAAUAAUCACCAUGGGGAGGCAUUGUCCUUUAUGACCUCAGUUCUUUUGGAUUCACAAGCAAAAAAUUACACUGCUUUAAAUAAUUUGCUCGUUUGGUAGUGUUAUACUUCUGAUAGCCAAAAAUUAUUUUUGGAAUGCAUGUUUUCUUUUUUUAAAGAUACACAUUUGGCUAUAAUCUUGUAUAUACAGCCUCAAAUAUAACAUUCAGCAAGUUAACAUUUAGAUUUCUUUUUAGACUCAAACACAUCAACAAAUAUAGGAUUCUUGAAAUCUUUUAAUACUUCUUUUGGGUGUACUUAUCUGUUCUAAACUUGGGCAUUCUGAAUUCAGUAUGGAUAUUAAUAAAACAUGUAUAAACUUUGUUUCUC
rnacentral:lncRNA from 1 species